rnacentral:tRNA from 1 species
CAAAAAAUAGUUUAUUUAGAAUACCGGCUUUGGGAGCCGGAGGUGGAGGUUUAAACCCUCCUUUUUUGA